rnacentral:lncRNA from 1 species
CUCAGAAGCACGUGCGCCUUACGUAAUUUCCUGUUAUUCUUCGGUUUGCCUCCUCCCAGUGGCGUGGAUUUGCUCCCGACCCGCUUUUGGGGCGUGCCUGCUUCCUCCUCUCUGUUAGAUCUCGCUCUGUCACCCAGGCUGGAGUGAAAUGGCACAAUCUUGGCUCACUGUAACCUCCGCCCCCAGGUUCGACUGAUUCUCGUGCCUCAGCCUCCUCAGUAGCUGGGAUUACAGAUGAGCCCCAGAGAGGCGAAGCCACUUGAGCUCGUGAGUGACAGUCAGAUGUCAAGCCCUGCUCUUUCUAAAGCGUGCUGCCUUCAGAAAAGAAGAGCCAGAAGGAUGGAAAUUACUUCAGAAAGAUGAAUACCAGCUUUGAAGGAAUAAAAGCUGACGAGGAAUUGAAGGAGUUGAGGCACGAGCUUGAACAGGGUUGCAUGUUUGGCCCUUGAUUGUAAAUGCCCAUUGCUGCACCUGUUCCUGUUACUUGGGGAGUUGCAGCAGAAGGAACAGCGGCCUGGGACUCCAGAGAACUGGGUUCCCUCUCAUCCCUCCAGGGCCACCACUUCUUGUGGGCCCUUGGGCAAGUCACUGUACUUUCUGAGUCUCAGUUUCCCCAUUUGCAGAAUGGAAAUAACUACCCCGGUCUACCAACUUAGAAGAAUUGCUUUGAGGAUCUGAUAAGGUGGUGUGGAUGAUGCUGCCUUGGGGGCUUUACAGUCUGGAGCUCAAGGGACCCCUUAAGUUGGGCUUACUUAGUAACUCCAGGGGUGGGCAGAACAGGACUCCAAUGAGGGUUUUUUUCUUUUUCCCUUUUUUUUCUUUUCCUAUCUCUUAACUUUUAUCUUUAUUAUUUUACAAUGCCCUUGUAAGAUGAAACAAGUGAUGCUGAAAUAUCUUUUUCUUUUUUAACCUUUAUUUUAGAAUUGGGGUACAUGUGCAGGUUUGUUACAUAGGUACAGUGUGGGCUGCUGAGGUUUGGGAGUACGAAUGAAUUAGUCACCCCAGUGGUGAGCAUAGUGCCCGAUAAGUGGUUUUUUCAACCCUUACUCCCAUCCCUCUCCAUUCUUGUGUUCCCCAGUGUCUGCUGUUCCCAUUUUUAUGACCAUGUGUACUCAAUGUUUAGCUCCCACUUAGAAGUAAGAACAUGCCCAGCACUUUGGGAGGCCGAGGUGGGUGGAUCAUGAGGUCAAGAGAUCGAGACCAUCUUGGCUAACAAAGUGAAACCCUGUCUCUACUAAAAACAUAAAAAAUUGGCCGGGUGUGGUGGUGGGCACCUGUAGUCCUAGCUACUCGGGAGGCUGAGACAGGAGAAUCGCCUGAACCGGGGAGGUGGAGGUUGCAGUGAGCUGAGAUUGUACCACUGCACUCCAGCCUGGGUGACAGAGUGAGACUCCAUCUCAAAAAAAUAAAAAUAAAAAAAUAAAAAGAAUGUGGUGUAUGAAAAAAAAAAAAAAA